CCUUCGGCUUCAGAUACGUUUGAGUCGAUGGUCCUUGCAACAGAACCGUGAUCGAUAAAUGCUUGAAGAGCUUGGUCAGGCAUCGUUGAAACCUACCAGACAUUUCAUUAGAAAUGUUAACCAUCAUGCAAAUGCAGCACCAGAAGACAAGAAACUUUCAAUCACAUGCAACAAAGAAUCAACUUACCGUGACAUUGACACUUAUUCCAAGUGAAAUGACUUCCUUGAUGGAUGGAAUGCAUGGAGCAGUAGCAGGAAUUUUUAUAUACACAUUAGGGCGAUCAACCUUCUUAUGAAGCCACUUUGCAGCCUCUAUAGUGCCCUCUGUAUCAUCAGCAAGUCUAGGUGAGACUUCAACAGAAACGUACCCAUCGCCACCAUCUGUCUUAUUGUAGAUCAUUUCAAAGAGUCUGCAUGCAUCUUGGAUGUCCUUUACCACAAGUUCCCAAUACACAGUAUCUAUAUCUUUUCCACCUUGUACAAGUUCCCUGUAAAGAGCAGUGAAUGAAGAUAGGCAGAGUGUAAAACAGGCAAAACCAACAGGGAUAGACGUAAUGUAAAAACUACAAACAACCUGCCUAGUGUAAUCCCACAAGUGAGGUCUGGGGAGUGUAGUAUGUAUGCAGACCUUACUUCUUCCUUAGGAAAGAGGAGAGGUUGUUUCCAAUAGAACCUCAGCUCAAAACAGAUGAUUAGACGUAAUGUGAAGAAUGCAAUAUAUUCAAUUUCGGUAA